UCCGGUUUGUCACCGGCAGUCUCACUAGAGUGCCCAACUAAAUGCUGGUAACUAGUGAUGAGGGUUGCGCUCGUUGCGGGACUUAACCCAACAUCUCACAACACGAGCUGACGACAGCCAUGCAGCACCUGUGCACCGGCCCCGAAGGGCUGCCGUAUUUCUACGACAUUCCAGUGCAUGUCAAGCCUUGGUAAGGUUCUUCGCGUCGCGUCGAAUUAAACCACAUGCUCCGCUGCUUGUGCGGGCCCCCGUCAAUUCCUUUGAGUUUUAGCCUUGCGGCCGUACUCCCCAGGCGGGGUGCUUAAUGCGUUAGCUUCGGCACGGGGGGAGUCGACACCCCCCACACCUAGCACCCAUCGUUUACGGCGUGGACUAC
rnacentral:misc_RNA from 1 species